rfam:Comamonas testosteroni CNB-2, complete genome.
AUAUCGCCAACUGGAGAGCAGCCCGCAACCACAAGUCUGCAGGGCUCACCGAAGGGGCAAGCAUGUCCACCGCGAAGGUGCUCAUGCGCAACUCUCAGGUAAAAGGACAGCGGGAGAGGC